rnacentral:rRNA from 1 species
CUAAUACCCAAUGAUAUCUCUAGAAGACAUCUGAAAGAGAUUAAAGAUUUAUCGGUGAUGGAUGGGGAUGCGUCUGAUUAGCUUGUUGGCGGGGUAACGGCCCACCAAGGCAACGAUCAGUAGGGGUUCUGAGAGGAAGGUCCCCCACAUUGGAACUGAGACACGGUCCAAACUCCUACGGGAGGCAGCAGUGAGGAAUAUUGGUCAAUGGACGAGAGUCUGAACCAGCCAAGUAGCGUGCAGGAAGACGGCCCUAUGGGUUGUAAACUGCUUUUAUAAGGGAAUAAAGUUAGUCUCGUGAGACUUUUUGCAUGUACCUUAUGAAUAAGGACCCGCUAAUUCCGUGCCAGCAGCCGCGGUAAUACGGAAGGUCCGGGCGUUAUCCGGAUUUAUUGGGUUUAAAGGGAGCGUAGGCCGGAGAUUAAGCGUGUUGUGAAAUGUAGACGCUCAACGUCUGCACUGCAGCGCGAACUGGUUUCCUUGAGUACGCACAAAGUGGGCGGAAUUCGUGGUGUAGCGGUGAAAUGCUUAGAUAUCACGAAGAACUCCGAUUGCGAAGGCAGCUCACUGGAGCGCAACUGACGCUGAAGCUCGAAAGUGCGGGUAUCGAACAGGAUUAGAUACCCUGGUAGUCCGCACGGUAAAC